UAAGAGUCUGUUACAAGGUGUACAGUGUAUU
rnacentral:piRNA from 1 species